CGGACGGGUGAGUAAUGUCUGGGGAAACUGCCUGAUGGAGGGGGAUAACUACUGGAAACGGUAGCUAAUACCGCAUAACGUCGCAAGACCGAAAGAGGGGGACCUUCGGGCCUCUUGCCAUCGGAUGUGCCCAGAUGGGAUUAGCUAGUAGGUGGGGUAACGGCUCACCUAGGCGACGAUCCCUAGCUGGUCUGAGAGGAUGACCAGCCACACUGGAACUGAGACACGGUCCAG
rnacentral:rRNA from 1 species